UUCAUUGACUCAUCAGUGACAUUAGAAUGUGUUUGUCCAGCACUUUCUGGAUCUGUGACAAUGAGCUUUGAAGCUGUGUCAGGUUGAAUACUUGAUUCACUGAGUACAUCAAUGGACUCGACAGUUGUAAACCUUGUACUCAUUUCUUCAUACUCAUCAUGCAGAGUUGUGGAUGAUGAGACAGAUGGAAUAAUCGAA